UACGGAGGGUGCAAGCGUUGUCCGGAAUCACUGGGCGUAAAGGGCGCGUAGGCGGCCCGGUAAGUAGGGGGUGAAAUCCUGCGGCUUAACCGCAGGGCUGCCUUCUAAACUGUCGGGCUCGAGCACGGUAGAGGCAGAUGGAAUUCCCGGUGUAGCGGUGGAGUGCGUAGAGAUCGGGAAGAACAUCAGUGGCGAAGGCGGUCUGCUGGGCCGUUGCUGACGCUGAGGCGCGACAGCGUGGGGAGCAAACAGG
rnacentral:rRNA from 1 species